UUCUUAAGGUUAUUUAUAUGGUAUAUUACAUUAAUUUGUGUCUACUGAGCCGGCUUCAUCUCUGAAAUAAAGCUAAUAUAUCUGCUAAAUCCAUUUGAGCAGUGGUAUAGCUUAAAGUUUCCUUGUAGAUUUUUAAUUUGAAUGACUUGUGUAGAGAUGAAAACUGACAAUAGAAUCUCCCACUAUGUUGCACUUACACCCAUGUGACUUGUAAAUGCCUGUUCAUGUCUGUAUGAAGUCAUGAGCCACAGUGUUUGCUGCAUGUUUAUUCACAGUAGUUGCAGCUGCUCUUCAGUUGUUCCCUUUAUUACAAUAUGCUGACCUUCUUUUUGUUUGUUCUAAUUUAAUUUCAGGUUAUCAGCUAUCAAAAUACUAUGCCUUGUAUUUGGUUUCCAUUUGUUUGGCAUGCUGACUUCCAUCUUUUGACUCUCAGUGUGGGUAUCCUCUAGAGAGAUGCUUCUUGGAUACAUUAGUUUGAGGUCAUCUGUUCCUAGAAACUGUGUACUAACCACUAUAAUUCUGUUGCUUAGACUCUUGUUCUUUUCCCUCCUGCCAGGGGUUUUCUGGUGUAUUGCAUCAGACAUGAUGGAUUCCUUCUGAGCUCACCUUUGUUUGCUACUCUGUGAAAGUCUUACUCCCUUAUUCUCUCAUGAUUGAGAGUGUUUUUGCAUCUUCCUCUGUGUAUAAUAUUCCUUUAACUAUCUUCUGUAAUGCUAAGUUGGUGGUCAUGAACUGCCUUAAUUUGUGCUUAUCUUCAAAUAUUCGUAUUUCUUUAUCAGUUUUGAAAGAUAAUACUGCUGAGUAUAGCAACUGGGUCAGCACACUUGAGCUCUCUCGUUCCAUGAUUUCCCAACUGAAGUGACGGAUGAGAGGCUGAUGUUCCUCUGAUGGUUAUGUCUCUGUAGGUAAGCUGAUGGGUUCCUCUCAUGGCUUUUAACCUUGUUUCUUUGUAUUCCUGUUGUCCUGGCUGUUAUGUGCCAUGGACACAUUGUUAUCUGCUCAUGUCUGUUUGGCUGUUAUCCGCUCAUGUCUGUCUGGCAUUCUGCAUGAGCUUUUGUGUUUUGAUGUCCAUUUCAUUCUCUAGAUCUGUGAAAUUUUCUGCUAAGGUUUUAUGGGCUGCAUGCCUGCCAUUCUUACCUAAGUUUCUACCCACGGUUCUUAGGUUGGAUUGCAGAGUUCUUGGGCUUUAAGGUAAAAACCCUUUAUUGUUUUCUUUAUGGGUAUUGGAAUGCAGGGUUUGUCUUUUGUGCUCUCCAGCCCUGAAACUCUUUCUUCCUCUUGGUCAGAUUUCUUGGCAAUUGGAUUGCCAAAAAGUGGAUUGCUUUCCACUGUUUCUUUAUUUGAUUCGUUGAGUUUAUUUCUAAGUUUCUUUUUUUCAAAACCUCAAUUUCCUUAUUGAUUUUCCCCCUUACCCAUAUUUUUCAUCCAUAUUACUGAGAGUCAGUCUCUCUCUCUCACACACACACACAUGCACACUUUUUUCAAUUUUUUUUUACAUUUCUGACUUCAUUCCAAGUCCUGCUUUUUAAUCCUACAGCUUGUUUGCAUAUUCUUUAAGGUCACUUAUUAUUUUGACUAAUACACUCUUGAAGUCUCAUCUGACACUUUACCAUUUCAGUAAUAUCAUUGAAUUCAAUAAUUGAGUUGGGGUCUUUUGAAAUCACACUGUGUGCUCACUCUUUCUCUCCCUCUGUCUCUGUCUCUGUCUCUGUGUGUGUGUGUGUGUGUCCCUCCCUCUUUUCCCUCCCAUCCCUAUGAGCAUCCCUUCUCCCUACAAGCCCAUUUCCCACAUUCUUGUCUUGGUUUAGAGACCUGUAUUCCUAAAUACUAAAGAGACACAUUUCUUUUUGUUAAAUCCAGAACUCUUAUUUGAAAAUAUUUUCAAUCAGUAAUCAUAUAGAUUUGAAAAACUACUUUGGUUUAUCUUUAAUGGCAUAUAAAACAAAGAACAGUAAUCCUGUGACCAUAAACAGAAGGUGGUUAGGAAUGUGGGCAUGCAAUCUGGGAGGUAAUGAAGCGUGUUCAUCCUUUCAUCGAGUCUAGGAUGCGUAUAUUCAUGUGUCUGUGGGACAGUUAAAAGAUAAUAAAGACAGUACUGACAUCCCAUCUUUUCUAUAAAUGUUUAGUGCCUUAAAAACAUCGUAGCUUUUUUAAUUUCCUACAUGUAAUUGUUUUGAAGUAUAUACUUAGGUAACUAUUUAAUUUUAGCAUUUAUUCAAGAUUCUUACUGGAAGAAUCUAACAAAUUUCUUUAUAGAUUUUAUUUCCCAAAUUGUAUUGCUGGUAAAUUGUUACAGCAGCUGUAGUUAGGUCCUCAAGUGCGAGAAUAUCUGUACUGCUUUCAUGCUCUAAAACUCCAAGAUAACACUCGGUGAUAGACUAGAAAGGAAAUAAAUAGAAUUCCCAGAACUACUAGUGAGGGGCUGAUGAUGCAUUAGCUCUUGGAAAGACGGCUCCUGCCUGCUGAGGGUGAGAAGGAAGUGCCUCCCUAUAAAGCCAGCCAGAUGAGAUAUGGUGAGGGCUAGAUUUACCUCAGCUUUCUAGCCAUGUGACCAUAAAGUAUCUGAAAAUAGAAUAACUUGCAUUUGACUUGAACAUAGACAGACUUUGUGGGAUACAUUUCUAGACUUGAAGCCAAUACGGUUGUGAACUGAGGCUGUUUCUUCAGAGGCCUGUUGUCUUGUCUUGUCUCUUGUAAAGCAGAGGUGCUUUACAGCCUCUCUCUCAGCCUCAGGGCUCCUUGUCUUUGGUGUCCUUGUUUCUGCACUUCCUUGCCUGUUGCUCUUUAGCCUUUGACCCACACUCUGCUUGCUUGUUUCCUCUUCCUAGGUCUGUAAGGUCAUGAAUGAGACAUUAGCAGAGAACAGGAUCUAAAAUGUAAGGAUCGUGGGUUUGCCCACUGCCUCUCCUCAGCUCUGUCAAGGCCUGUGGAGUCUCUGAGCUCUGCGCCUGCCUGAGUGUUUUAGGAGGAGCAUCACAGCUCCCCGUGUUUGAGACAUGGUGCUGCCAUUGCUUACCAAAUAACUUUUUAGCCAUUGCCUUUCCUCAUCACCUGGAGCAGGGCUGACAGUUUUAUAAGGUCAUGUAGCAAGUUCAUCUGGGGCUUAGAGCUUCUGCCUGAGCCCCUGAGCCUUAGGCAACCCCUUUCUACCUGUAGUCUACUUUUGUAACCUUUCCUCAUAAGAUUGCUGACUGGAAUUUUUGCUUUCUGACCACCAUUGUUCACAGUUUAUCUUGGAGGAAAUGUAUGGGUUUUUUUUGUUUUGUUUUGUUUUGUUUUGUUUUCUGGUUUUUAUCCUUAGCUGGGAGAGUGAUGUUUCCUCCUUUGCUGAUAAGGACAGCAAUUGGCCAGACUCCAGGGUCUGAGGAAAUACAGUUGUAGAAACCGAAGGUUACCCUAUGGGUGGGCCAAUUCUUUGCACUGGAUUUUUAAUGUUUACUCCUGCAGGAGUACUUAAAUGUGAAAAAGUCAAAGUUCAAAGGGUAAAUAAUAUGUUUCACUUGAAUUUUUCUAAUACACUAUUUUAGUGUGUGUGUACCCAUAUAAAGAUGAGUAGCGUUUGGGUCUGGCUCACUGGGUGCAGUUUUUGCUUGCCAUGCUUAAAGCUCUGGGUUCAGUCACUGGCACCAUAAAAGCCAGGCUGCGGGGCAUACACCUGGUAUCCCGGAGCACAGGCAGUCCAUCAGAAGAAGCGAAGGUUCUCCUCUUACAUAAGGAAUUUGAGGCCAACCUGGGUUAGAGAACCUGUCUCAAAAAAGG
rnacentral:lncRNA from 1 species